rnacentral:tRNA from 1 species
ACUUUCUUAGUAUAAUGAGUACAGCUGACUUCCAAUCAGCUAGCUCCAGCAAACUCUGGAAGAAAGUA